UGNACUGGGUGACUAGAGUGUGUCAGAGGGAGGCAGAAUUCCACGUGUAGCAGUGAAAUGCGUAGAGAUGUGGAGGAAUACCGAUGGCGAAGGCAGCCUCCUGGGAUAACACUGACGUUCAUGCCCGAAAGCGUGGGUAGCAAACAGGAUUAGAUACCCUGGUAGUCCACGCCCUAAACGAUGUCGAUUAGCUGUUGGGCAGCAUGACUGCUUAGUAGCGAAGCUAACGCGUGAAAUCGACCGCCUGGGGAGUACGGUCGCAAGAUUAAAACUCAAAGGAAUUGACGGGGACCCGCACAAGCGGUGGAUGAUGUGGAUUAAUUCGAUGCAACGCGAAGAACCUUACCUGGUCUUGACAUGUACGGAACCCUCCAGAGACGGAGGGGUGCCUUCGGGAGCCGUAACACAGGUGCUGCAUGGCUGUCGUCAGCUCGUGUCGUGAGAUGUUGGGUUAAGUCCCGCAACGAGCGCAACCCUUGUCAUUAGUUGCCAUCAUUAAGUUGGGCACUCUAAUGAGACUGCCGGUGACAAGCCGGAGGAAGGUGGGGAUGACGUCAAGUCCUCAUGGCCCUUAUGACCAGGGCUUCACACGUCAUACAAUGGUCGGUACAGAGGGUAGCCAAGCCGCGAGGUGGAGCCAAUCUCACAAAACCGAUCGUAGUCCGGAUUGCACUCUGCAACUCGAGUGCAUGAAGUCGGAAUCGCUAGUAAUCGCAGGUCAGCAUACUGCGGUGAAUACGUUCCCGGGUCUUGUACACACCGCCCGUCACACCAUGGGAGUGGGGGAUACCAGAAGUAGGUAGGGUAACCGCAAGGAGCCCGCUU
rnacentral:rRNA from 1 species